UUUGGUGUUCUAAGCAAUUUCCUAUAAAUAGGUGCUUAGGUUAGAAUUAAAAAUCACACCAGAAACUGAUGUUUUCUCUCUCUAUAUUAUCGAGCGUAUUCUUGUGAGUAUUUUGAGUAUACUUUGAGUAUUGCUAUACGGUGAAAGUUUAUGUAAUAGCCUAUAUCCAGUAUUUCAGUUAGAAGUACUGUCUUUCCGAGGUAAGGGAUAUUAUU
rnacentral:lncRNA from 1 species